rnacentral:rRNA from 1 species
GACGAACGCUGGCGGCGUGCUUAACACAUGCAAGUCGAACGGAAAGGCCCCCUUGUGGGGUACUCGAGUGGCGAACGGGUGAGUAACACGUGAGUAACCUACCCUUGACUUUGGGAUAACUUCAGGAAACUGGGGCUAAUACCGGAUAGGAGCUCCUGCUGCAUGGUGGGGGUUGGAAAGUUUCGGCGGUUGGGGAUGGACUCGCGGCUUAUCAGCUUGUUGGUGGGGUAGUGGCUCACCAAGGCUUUGACGGGUAGCCGGCCUGGGAGGGUGACCGGCCACAUUGGGACUGAGAUACGGCCCAGACGCCUACGGGAGGCAGCAGUGGGGAAUAUUGCACAAUGGGCGGAAGCCUGAUGCAGCAACGCCGCGUGCGGGAUGACGGCCUUCGGGUUGUAAACCGCUUUCGCCUGUGACGAAGCGUGAGUGACGGUAAUGGGUAAAGAAGCACCGGCUAACUACGUG